CUUCCUCAACACACGCUCCGGGCUGAGACCGUUGCACUGCUAGCAGGCUAUCCCCUAGGCUUGUCGGACUUCCUGAACCCGCCCACGACCGCCCCGCAGCUCUGCUGCCUCUCAUCUGUCCUCCUCGAUGGCCUUCCUUCCCGCAAGUCGUGGUCAGUGCAUAGGCGGCGAGUUCGAUGCUCAGGGAGUUGGAACGACCCAUGGUUGCGUGUGAGUACGGUCAAGAAGCGGCGCGCGGCGCUAUGCGUAUGGAGUUGAACGUUGGCUCCGAGCGAAGGUGCGCUGCACUCGACUGGAGAAAGCUUCG
rnacentral:misc_RNA from 1 species